AGAGUGUAAACGCUGCAGACUUGGUGUUGGAAGUCCUUUGGGGGCAUUCAGUGCCGGAGAGAAGUUGUUAAGUCUGCUACUUGGGGAGUACGUCCGCAAGGAUGAAACUUAAAGGAAUUGGCGGGGGAGCACCGCAACGGGAGGAGCGUGCGGUUUAAUUGGACUCAACGCCGGAAAUCUCACCGGAUAGGACAGACAUAUGAUAGUCGGGCUGAAGACUCUACUUGAUGAUCUGAGAGGUGGUGCAUGGCGUAGUCGUGU
rnacentral:rRNA from 1 species